rnacentral:misc_RNA from 1 species
AAGGAGCACUCUUACCGACUUCGGUAGUACGAGGCCAACACGCAGGCACACGUUCUGCGGUGGUUGCUCAUGGGUGGAACGUUGACUAUUCGGCACUCUCAGUCAUCUCGGGCUGCAAGUACGUCUCUUCGGAGCGUGGAAAGCUGAUCACAGUGGCGGGGGUGCCGGGCACGCUGUUGGGUGUCUGAGGGUGACGCGUUGCUCGUCCUUCGGAUGCCGGCCCCAGUGAACUCGCCUGUGAGGGCGGGGUGAUGGGUGGCUGGUCGUUGUUUGAGAACUGCACAGUGGACGCGAGCAUCUGU